GUUGUAGCUUAGUGGUAGAGUACUUGCCUAGCAUGUAUGAGGCACUGGGUUCAAUCCUCAGUACAACA
rnacentral:tRNA from 1 species